AGCAUAUCAAUAAGCGGAGGAAAAGAAACUAACAAGGAUUCCCCUAGUAACUGCGAGUGAAGCGGGAAAAGCUCAAAUUUAAAAUCUGGCAGUCUAUGGCUGUCCGAGUUGUAAUCUAGAGAAGUGAUAUCCGCGUUGGACCGUGUACAAGUCUCCUGGAAUGGAGCGUCAUAGAGGGUGAGAAUCCCGUCUUUGACACGGGCUACCAGGGCUUUGUGAUACGCUCUCAAAGAGUCGAGUUGUUUGGGAAUGCAGCUCAAAAUGGGUGGUAAAUUCCAUCUAAAGCUAAAUAUUGGCGAGAGACCGAUAGCGAACAAGUACCGUGAGGGAAAGAUGAAAAGAACUUUGGAAAGAGAGUUAAACAGUACGUGAAAUUGCUGAAAGGGAAACGCUUGAAGUCAGUCGCGUUGUCCAGGGAUCAACCUUGCUUUUGCUUGGUGUACUUUCUGGUUGACGGGUCAGCAUCAAUUUUGACUAUWGGAAAAAGAUUAGGGGAAUGUGGCAUCUUUGGAUGUGUUAUAGCCCUUGGUUGCAUACAAUGGUUGGGAUUGAGGAACUCASCACGCCGCAAGGCCGGGUUUUAACCACGUACGUGCUUAGGAUGCUGGCAUAAUGGCUUUAAUCGACCCGUCUUGAAACACGGACCAAGGAGUCUAACAUGCCUGCGAGUGUUUGGGUGGAAAACUCGAGCGCGUAAUGAAAGUGAAAGUUGAGAUCCCUGUCGUGGGGAGCAUCGACGCCCGGACCAGACCUUUUGUGACGGCUCCGCGGUAGAGCAUGUAUGUUGGGACCCGAAAGAUGGUGAACUAUGCCUGAAUAGGGUGAAGCCAGAGGAAACUCUGGUGGAGGCUCGUAGCGAUUCUGACGUGCAAAUCGAUCGUCAAAUUUGGGUAUAGGGGCGAAAGACUAAUCGAACCAUCUAGUAGCUGGUUCCUGC
rnacentral:rRNA from 1 species